rnacentral:rRNA from 1 species
AGUGAACGCUGGCGGUAGGCCUAACACAUGCAAGUCGAACGGCAGCACCGUAAGAGCUUGCUCUUACGGGUGGCGAGUGGCGGACGGGUGAGGAAUACAUCGGAAUACACUUUUUCGUGGGGGAUAACGUAGGGAAACUUACGCUAAUACCGCAUACGACCUACGGGUGAAAGCAGGGGUUCUUCGGACUUUGCGCGAUUGAAUGAGCCGAUGUCGGAUGAGCUAGUUGGCGGGGUAAAGGCCCACCAAGGCGACGAUCCGUAGCUGGUCCGAGGGGAUGAUUCCACAGAUGGGAACUGAGACUCGGCCCACACUCCGACAGGAGGCCGCGGUGGGGAAUCUUGCGCGAGGGGGGAAAGCCUGAUCCAGCAAUACCGGGUGAGUCAUGAAGCACUUCGGGUUGUUGAGCCCUUUAGUUGGGAAAGAAGAGAAGCAGGUUUAUACGCCGCUAUAAUGACGGUACCCAAAGAAUAAGCUCCGGCUAACUUCGUG